rnacentral:rRNA from 1 species
AGCAGCCGCGGUAAUUCCAGCUCCAAUAGCGUAUAUUAAAGUUGUUGCAGUUAAAAAGCUCGUAGUUGAAUUUCGAGACCAGUAUGUCGGUCGUGCCUCGGUACGUACUUGCAUUAUUGGUUUCUCCCUUCUGACGAACCUCGAUGCCAUUAAUUUGGUGUCGUGGGGAAUCAGGACUGUUACUUUGAAAAAUUAGAGUGUUUAAAGCAGGCACACGCUUGAAUACAUUAGCAUGGAAUAAUGAAAUAGGACGUUUGAUUCUAUUUUGUUGGUUUCUAGGAUCGACGUAAUGAUUAAUAGGGAUAGUUGGGGGCAUUAGUAUUCAAUUGUCAGAGGUGAAAUUCUUGGAUUUAUUGAAGACUAACUACUGCGAAAGCAUUUGCCAAGGAUGUUUUCAUUAAUCAAGAACGAAAGUUAGGGGAUCGAAGACGAUCAGAUACCGUCGUAGUC